rnacentral:tRNA from 2 species
UCCUCAGUAGCUCAGUCGGUAGAGCAGUUGACUGUUAAUCAAUUGGUCGCAAGUUCGAGUCUUGCCUGAGGAGCCA